UACAGAGGGGGCAAGCGUUGUUCGGAAUUACUGGGCGUAAAGGGCGCGUAGGCGGCCUUCUAAGUCGGACGUGAAAGCCCCAGGCUUAACCUGGGAACUGCGUCCGAUACUGGGAGGCUUGGAUUCGGGAGAGGGAUGUGGAAUUCCAGGUGUAGCGGUGAAAUGCGUAGAUAUCGGGAAGAACAUCGGUGGCGAAGGCGGCCAGCUGGGCCAUUGCUGACGCUGAUGCGCGACAGCGUGGGGAGCAAACAGG
rnacentral:rRNA from 1 species